CCGCCCAACUCCCCCAACUCGCUAGCGAACAGAUCUUCGUUCUUCCUCAGGAGUUGCUCUAGACCCUCCCUGAUGUUCUGUGGGAGGUUCUUUCCUACUCGUACUUCGUCCCGCCCGAGGGCCACUUGGGUCGUGUGAGAUGCCGGUUCGGGUCUUGCCGUGCGUUCCCGCAUCGAGUGGGGUAGGCCUUCGUCCGACGUCAUUACUUCACCGACCGAAUUGAAGUAGCAUUCGCGCG
rnacentral:lncRNA from 1 species